rnacentral:rRNA from 1 species
UUUGAUCAUGGCUCAGAACGAACGCUGGCGGCAGGCCUAACACAUGCAAGUCGAACGAGAAGCCACCUUCGGGUGGUGGAAAGUGGCAGACGGGUGAGUAACGCGUGGGAACGUGCCUUUCGGUUCGGGAUAACCCAGGAAACUUGGGCUAAUACCGGAUACGCCCUUCGGGGGAAAGAUUCAUCGCCGAAAGAUCGGCCCGCGUCGGAUUAGCUUGUUGGUGGGGUAAUGGCCUACCAAGCGACGAUCCGUAGCUGGUCUGAGAGGAUGACCAGCCACACUGGGACUGAGACACGGCCCAGACUCCUACGGGAGGCAGCAGUGGGGAAUAUUGGACAAUGGGCGAAAGCCUGAUCCAGCCAUGCCGCGUGGGUGAAGAAGGCCUUAGGGUUGUAAACCCCUUUCAGCGGGGAAGAUAAUGACGGUACCCGCAGAAGAAGUCCCGGCUAACUCCGUGCCAGCAGCCGCGGUAAUACGGAGGGGACUAGCGUUGUUCGGAAUUACUGGGCGUAAAGCGCGCGUAGGCGGAUUUGCAAGUCGGGGGUGAAAGCCCGAGGCUCAACCUCGGAACUGCCUUCGAUACUGCAGAUCUCGAGUCCGAGAGAGGUGAGUGGAAUUCCUAGUGUAGAGGUGAAAUUCGUAGAUAUUAGGAAGAACACCAGUGGCGAAGGCGGCUCACUGGCUCGGUACUGACGCUGAGGCGCGAAAGCGUGGGGAGCAACAGGAUUAGAUACCCUGGUAGUCCACGCGUAACUAUGGGUGCUAGCGUCGGGGAGCUGCUCUUCGGUGGCGCAGCAAACGCUA